rnacentral:rRNA from 1 species
AUUGAACGCUGGCGGCAGGCCUAACACAUGCAAGUCGAACGAGUGGCGGACGGGUGAGUAAUGUCUGGGAAACUGCCUGAUGGAGGGGGAUAACUACUGGAAACGGUAGCUAAUACCGCAUACCAUCAGAUGUGCCCAGAUGGGAUUAGCUAGUGGGUGGGGUAACGGCUCACCUAGGCGACGAUCCCUAGCUGGUCUGAGAGGAUGACCAGCCACACUGGAGCUGAGACGCGGUCCAGACUCCUACGGGAGGCAGCAGUGGGGAAUAUUGCACAAUGGGCGCAAGGCUGAUGCAGCCAUGCCGCGUGUAUGAAGAAGGCCUUCGGGUUGUAAAGUACUUUCAGCGGGGAGGCGUUACCCGCAGAAGAAGCACCGGCUAACUCCGUGCCAGCCGCCGCGGUAAUUC